GGCGUGCCUAUACAUGCAAGUCGAGCGAAUGGAUUAAGAGCUUGCUCUUAUGAAGUUAGCGGCGGACGGGUGAGUAACACGUGGGUAACCUGCCCAUAAGACUGGGAUAACUCCGGGAAACCGGGGCUAAUACCGGAUAACAUUUUGAACCGCAUGGUUCGAAAUUGAAAGGCGGCUUCGGCUGUCACUUAUGGAUGGACCCGCGUCGCAUUAGCUAGUUGGUGAGGUAACGGCUCACCAAGGCAACGAUGCGUAGCCGACCUGAGAGGGUGAUCGGCCACACUGGGACUGAGACACGGCNCCAGACUCCUACGGGAGGCAGCAGUAGGGAAUCUUCCGCAAUGGACGAAAGUCUGACGGAGCAACGCCGCGUGAGUGAUGAAGGCUUUCGGGUCGUAAAACUCUGUUGUUAGGGAAGAACAAGUGCUAGUUGAAUAAGCUGGCACCUUGACGGUACCUAACCAGAAAGCCACGGCUAACUACGUGCCAGCAGCCGCGGUAAUACGUAGGUGGCAAGCGUUAUCCGGAAUUAUUGGGCGUAAAGCGCGCGCAGGUGGUUUCUUAAGUCUGAUGUGAAAGCCCACGGCUCAACCGUGGAGGGUCAUUGGAAACUGGGAGACUUGAGUGCAGAANGAGGAAAGUGGAAUUCCAUGUGUAGCGGUGAAAUGCGUAGAGAUAUGGAGGAACACCAGUGGCGAAGGCGACUUUCUGGUCUGUAACUGACACUGAGGCGCGAAAGCGUGGGGAGCAAACAGGAUUAGAUACCCUGGUAGUCCACGCCGUAAACGAUGAGUGCUAAGUGUUAGAGGGUUUCCGCCCUUUAGUGCUGAAGUUAACGCAUUAAGCACUCCGCCUGGGGAGUACGGCCGCAAGGCUGAAACUCAAAGGAAUUGACGGGGGCCCGCACAAGCGGUGGAGCAUGUGGUUUAAUUUGAAGCAACGCGAAGAACCUUACCAGGUCUUGACAUCCUUUGACAACCCUAGAGAUAGGGCUUUUCCUUUGGGAGCAGAGUGACAGGUGGUGCAUGGUUGUUGUCAGCUCGUGUCGUGAGAUGUUGGGUUAAGUCCCGCAACGAGCGCAACCCUUGAUUUUAGUUGCCAUCAUUAAGUUGGGCCCUUUAAGGUGACUGCCGGUGACAAACCGGAGGAAGGUGGGGAAGACGUCAAAUCAUCAUGCCCCUUAUGACCUGGGCUACACACGUGCUNACAAUGGACGGUACAAAGAGCUGCAAGACCGCGAGGUGGAGCUAAUUUCAUAAAACCGUUUUCAGUUCGGAUUGUAGGCUGCAACUUGCCUACAUGAAGCUGGAAUCGCUAGUAAUCGCGGAUCAGCAUGCCGCGGUGAAUACGUUCCCGGGCCUUGUACACCCCGCCCGUCACCCCCCGAGAGUUUGUAACCCCCGAAGUCGGUGGGGUAACCUUUUGGAGCCAGCCGCCUAAGGUG
rnacentral:rRNA from 1 species